GCUAGAUAUGGUGGUGCAUGCAUGUAUUCCCAGGUACUCAGGAAGCUGAGGCAGGAGGAUCACUUGUCCACGAGUUCUGGGCCUAUAGUGCGCUAUGCAAUCUGGUGUCCACACUAAGUUCAGCAUCAGUAUAGUGACCUCCUGGGAGCGAAGGACCACCAGAUUACCUAAGGAGGGGUGAACCAGCCCAGGUCAGAAACAAAGUAUGUGAAAACUCUUGUGCUGAUCAGCAGUGGCAUCACACCUGUGAAUAGCUGCUGCACUCCAGCCUGGACAACACAGUGAUACCUUGCCUGU
rnacentral:SRP_RNA from 1 species